rnacentral:rRNA from 1 species
GAACGCUGGCGGCGUGCUUAACACAUGCAAGUCGAGCGGAAAGGCCCUUCGGGGUACUCGAGCGGCGAACGGGUGAGUAACACGUGAGCAACCUGCCCUAGGCUUUGGGAUAACCCCGGGAAACCGGGGCUAAUACCGAAUAGGACCACUGGCCGCAUGGCUGGUGGUGGAAAGUUUUUCGGCCUGGGAUGGGCUCGCGGCCUAUCAGCUUGUUGGUGGGGUGAUGGCCUACCAAGGCGACGACGGGUAGCCGGCCUGAGAGGGCGACCGGCCACACUGGGACUGAGACACGGCCCAGACUCCUACGGGAGGCAGCAGUGGGGAAUAUUGCACAAUGGGCGGAAGCCUGAUGCAGCGACGCCGCGUGAGGGAUGACGGCCUUCGGGUUGUAAACCUCUUUCAGCAGGGACGAAGCGUAAGUGACGGUACCUGCAGAAGAAGCGCCGGCCAACUACGUGCCAGCAGCCGCGGUAAGACGUAGGGCGCGAGCGUUGUCCGGAUUUAUUGGGCGUAAAGAGCUCGUAGGCGGC